rnacentral:misc_RNA from 1 species
GAUGAAGAACGUAGCGAAAUGCGAUAAGUAAUGUGAAUUGCAGAAUUCAGUGAAUCAUCGAAUCUUUGAACGCACAUUGCGCCCUUUGGCAUUCCGAAGGGCAUGCCUGUUCGAGCGUCAUUACACCACUCAAGCCUGGCUUGGUAUUGGGCGCCGCGGCCUCGCCCGCGCGCCCUAAUGUCUCCGGCCGAGCCGUCCGUCUCUAAGCGUUGUGGCAAAACUAUUCGCUUGCGGGACCGGAGGGCGUCGCGCCGUUAAACCCUUUUCAAGGUUGACCUCGGAUCAGGUAGGGAUACCCGCUGAACUUAAGCAUAUCAAUAAGCGGAGGA